CUUAGUGUUUUGGCGAAAAUGACGUUGAGUCCGCUUCCGCCAUCUAUGAGUACUUUUGUCAGUUUUGAGCCUGCAACGACAGGAUCGAGUACUAGGGGAAAUCAGCCUGGUUCUGAGAAGUUUGUCCAUUGGUCUCUUCUGCUGAUGGUUAUGGGUACCUCUGACCAUUUUAGCGAUGUUGGAUCUGUUGGUUCGAUGGCCAUGAUUUCCCUGAGUACUAGUUUAGUGGAUCGCUUG
rnacentral:lncRNA from 1 species